CUCCAGGUUCAUCGUCAAGAUCCUGAAUAGAACCAGUUUUUUAUCAUGAGAAUCAGCGAAGGUAUAGUCAGCUGGUUAUGCAGUGCAUAUCUAUCUCAUACCAUUUACUUACAUCGUCUUGGCUAGCUGAGCACUCUGCCUGGGCCUGGCACUUCCGCUUCUGCUGGCGCCACAGCUCGUCACUCCCAGCUCCGUUGCCGGAGCACACCGACGAUGUCGCGACCGUGGCCUCAGGUGCCUUCCUCGCCUCGGUUUUGUGGACAGGCAUGGUUCGGCCUGCCCUGUCACGGCCCAUCUCGUGGUGCAGGUUAACGGCCGGGGCCAUGGGAGCGGCUGCCGUGGACGCGAACGGCAUCUCCUUCGGCUGCGGCGGCCACGCCGCCGCCCUCUGAUCGGCGAACGCCGGUGCGCUCCUUGGCCCGCUCGCCGUCUGCACGACCGUCGACUCGACGCGGUUGCUCGCGGUGACAUUGGACGCCUUAUUGUCGGUGCCCUGCGUCCUCUGCGCGCUCUCCAGCGUCGCCCUCGCCAGGACGGCCGGGCGGGAGAAGAGCGAGAAGUUCAUCACGCCCUCGCCGCCGCCGCUGCCGCUCGACCGAGGCAGCUUGGCUGCGGCGAGCUGUGGCUGCGGCUGCGGCUCGGCUCGGGUGGUGGGAACCGACAGGCCGCCGUGGCUUUCCUUGGAGGGUUCCCUGGUGGUGGUGGUGGCAACCGGAGCAUUUCUGUUAUUGGUGGCGCCGUUGUGAUUGGAGGCUGGCAGAGAGGCGAGAUCGGUCGGCGGCGCGGCGGCCGCCGCGGCAGCCGCCGCCGCCUGGAGCUCGGAGAAGAAGUCGGAGCCAUAGUCCGCUGCUGCGAGAGCAGCAGGGGCGGCGGCGUCUUCAUCGUCAAUUAUGGGGUAAUGGAUCCACGGAACGGUGUCAUCAUCACCGUUGUCCUGCGUGGUGGCGCCGAAGCCAGAAGCGAAGUCGUGCACCGCCGGAGCCAUGCCCAAGGCGCCGAAGCCGCCCCCCACCUUGGCGAACGCAUCGAUGCCGCCGGGCUGCCUCUCCUGGGCUCUACUACUGCUGCCGCCGCCGCCACCGCCGGUGCCACCGAAGAAGCCGAACGGCGGGAAGGCCGGCUGCGGGUGCUUCUUCCUCCCGUGCACCACCGCCUGGCCGUUCUCCCACAGCAGCUCGGCGAAGUCGUUGCCGUCGGACCUGCACACACAAAACACCGAGCCAUAUACAAACACAUGCAUCAGCUUCCUCGAUCGGAAUCAACCGGAGAGCUAAACCGGAGGCAGCGAAAGAUCGCGUUGCACCCACAUCUGUGCAGUCCGUGGAGACAGGGUGAAGAAAUCAAGGAAGGAGGAGUUUGCAGCUGUACUCCGAGUGCAGAGACGAGAGCUCCAGCCGAAUGCGAAGCCGUGCUCUCCUCCGCGGCCGGCCGGGCAACGCGAGGUGAGCUCUCUCUUUCUUUCGCUGGAGGGAGGGAGAGACGAAGAGAAGAGGAAACGAAGCCGAAGUCGAAGCCGAAGGUGAAGCGGGGGACGGGCGGGGCGGCGCUGUUGGUCCGCGUGUGGGAUAAGAGGCUGUGGCGUGGGGGGACCUAGCGGACGGGAACGGAAUGGACAAGCAGAUAAGAAAGACGCAACGCAACGCAGCGGUUGCAGCCGCAGCCCCAAGCCCCGGGUUCCCUGCACCGCCCUCGCGUCAAUCCACGGACCAGUGACAAAACGAGGCCCUGCCCCUCUGCCUCACGUUCCACGCUCGGGGCACCCCCCGCCACCGGUACACACCUACGCAGCCGCGUGUCUCAGCGCGCGGGCGGGGCGGGGCGCGACGACAUAAAUGGAUGGUUGGGGUGAUUGGCGGGGACCAAACCGAUCGAUGGAUCGCCGCAUGCAUCAUGAUGAAUACUACAGGAUACUCCUCCAUCCCGUGCCCCGCGGUUGGCAUGGCACUGGCAGCGGCAGCGGCAGCGGCUGCGCUAGUGUGUACUUGGUGAUACUCCCCCGCCAGGUCCAGCUCCGGCAUCCGUCGUGACAAUGCAGACCGCAGCGCAGAAGCAUGACAUGACAUGAGUGAAACUAUAGCCAACACAGUGUGCCUGGUAACUGCGGUGCCACGGGGGUUGGUUUGGUUGGUCCUCGUUUGUGGCGCGUGCAGGUGCAGGCUCGAUCGGGAAAGGCAAAAGCGGCGGUGGUUGCUGCUGCCAAAGCAACUUUUGCUCGGCGGAGAUCCAGCCCAGGUACUCCAGGUGCGUGCAUGGCAGCAUGACUGCCUGGCAGUGUGACUGGCUGACCGGUGAUGGGAAGGCUCAAGGACGACGGACACUGUCUCACACUCACAGCAAGGUAGUAGUAGUAGUACUACUGCUAGUCCUUGCUUCCACUCGAUGAUAAAUAAAGCUGCCCCCCCUCGCGUCACACAUGUACCACAUACCUCCACUAAUGAUUGACACUGCCGCCAGAGGAGAUAGAAGAGAGAGAAUGCUGCAGCUACUGUACAGUACUACACCCCCUAGCUUUGCUUUGACUUGGGGCUUGGCUUUGAUUGCUUAGGGCAUGUUUGGAUUGCUGCCCUACUAAAAUUUUGGUAGUUCCAAAUUUUGGGCUACCAAAACUUUAGUAGGGUAGAGUUAAAAAUGUUUAUUUGGAUUGAAGCCACAAUUUACCCAUAAGAGACAAGUUCAUAGACAAAGCCAAAUGUAUGGUAUUGGUAGAGUUUUAGUAGAGAUGUUUAGUUUGCUACCCUACCAAAACUUUGGUAGGGCAAAUUUUAGUAGGGUAGUAAUCCAAAUUAGCCCUUAAUUAAUUUGCAUGAUCGGUCUAAUGGUCCUAACAACAGCAACAACAACAAACAACACCACUGUCAGCGCUAAUGGCAUCACCAUCCCGGCCCCGCCCGGCCACCGGUUGCUACAAAAGCAGGCGCAGGGAAUCAGAUAUCUUCGUCUCCUCCAUUCCUCGGUGACUUACUUUCUCGGGAGCCGGGCAUGUGUAUGCGCUGCAGGGAGAGAUGCAAGGGGCAUUAAACAUAAGCCAUGUUGAGCUACGAGGGAGUAUGGCGAGCUCUUGUCGGCUAGCCUAAUUUCUCAGCCGGAGACGGAACCCCGGGGCGUCAGGAUUGAGGAGGCAGAGGCAACCAGCAGCAGGUAAUGCUGCCUGCAUGCAUGGCUAUCUAUCUCCGGAGUAGUUUAUGUAGAAGUAUAUAUACUUAUUUAUAGUCCUAUGAUUUUAUUACUCAGUGUGUUUUCAUAUGACUCUCUCCUAUGAAUAUGAUAUGAUCCUAUACUAGGAGUGAGUAGUGCAGUGUACUGGUGCUCAACUGAA